CAGUCGCCGCGGUAAAACGUAGGGUGCAAGCGUUAAUCGGAAUUACUGGGCGUAAAGCGUGCGCAGGCGGUGUUGUAAGACUGAUGUGAAAUCCCCGGGCUCAACCUGGGAACUGCAUUGGUGACUGCAACGCUGGAGUGCGGCAGAGGGGGAUGGAAUUCCGCGUGUAGCAGUGAAAUGCGUAGAUAUGCGGAGGAACACCGAUGGCGAAGGCAAUCCCCUGGGCCUGCACUGACGCUCAUGCACGAAAGCGUGGGGAGCAAACAGGAUUAGAUACCCCCGUAGUCCCUGUCUCUUAUAC
rnacentral:rRNA from 1 species